rnacentral:lncRNA from 1 species
CAGGCCCCAUCCAGCUGAAGCUUGUGAUACUGUUCGUCUCGUUUCACCGCCUAGGACUCCUUCACUGGACUGCCCCAUCAUCUGGAGACACCAAAACCUCACCUAGAUGUACUAUAAUGAUCAGAGACUUAGAGGUCAUAUUGCUUCUGGAAUUUCUGCCCUGGUUGGGGCAUUAUUUUUUAAGAAGGAUAUUUGCAAAAUGAAAUGCUUGAAGAGGAGAAUGACCAAGACAAUUUGGUAUCUAGGAAUUCUAAAAUCUGAAGAACUUGUUUGAAUAAUGAACAAUGCAUCAUUUCUCAGAUUUAAUGACCUAAGGGGAUGAGACCACAAACUCUGAAUCCUUGCAAACAAUCUCUUCCCAGAAUCUGAUCAAGCUGGUGCUGUCUGUCCUUCUCCUGUUGCUGAAUGUGCCUGGCCCAGGGCUGGGGAAGAAGCCUGGCUCUGGACUGGCCAGGGCUGAUAAUGGCCAUCUGGGCUCCUGCCUUGGUUGAAAAGCAUGCCUCUUAAAACUUUCUACAUGUAACUGAAAAAAUAAAAAAAGUUAGGGAAAAAAAGCA